rnacentral:lncRNA from 1 species
CUUGACUGGUCCCUUUCAACUGUCCCCUCAGGUGGGGAGGAUGGGCAGAAGCGGCGACGCAACCGGCCUGAAGCCUUCCCCACUGCUGAAGAUAUCUUUGCUAAGUUCCAGCACCUUUCACAUUAUGACCAACACCAGGUCACGGCUCAGGUCUCCCGGAAUGUUCUGGAGCAGAUCACGAGCUUUGCCCUUGGCAUGUCAUACCACUUGCCUCUGGUGCAGCAUGUGCAGUUCAUCUUCGACCUCAUGGAAUAUUCACUCAGCAUCAGUGGCCUCAUCGACUUUGCCAUUCAGGUGGGGAAGUUGGGGAGAUGAGGGUGGAGGAAGGAGUUCGUGCCAUAUAGGGGCUAUGGAGGGUCAUAAGGACAGGGGUAAAUGCUCCAGCCAGUUUCCCAGGCUAUUUGAAGGGGCAGAAAGACUAGCACGGGGGGAGUGGAACAUGAGCUGAGACUGCAGGAAUAGAGACAAGUGCUCCCUGGGGAGGCCAAGAGGCAGAUUAGAGCAUUGGGCACAGACCAUCCUCCCACUGUGGAGUUCAUAGAACUGUAUCCUGGACACUGGUUAGAGGUGUUGUUGAUAGACUAAAGGACCGUGGCAUAGGGUAACGAGCCCUUCUAUCCUGAGGUGGCUCCAGCAGGAAGGGGCUCAGGCCCAGCCUUGCCAGCGUCCCCACAGGAAGGUGGGUUCUAUGUAACAUGAGGGGCCUCUUUGCAUUUCUCACCCCCGUUCACUCUGCUAGCUGCUGAAUGAACUGAGUGUAGUUGAGGCUGAGCUGCUUCUCAAAUCCUCGGAUCUGGUGGGCAGCUACACUACUAGCCUGUGCCUGUGCAUCGUGGCUGUCCUGCGGCACUAUCAUGCCUGCCUCAUCCUCAACCAGGACCAGAUGGCACAGGUCUUUGAGGGGCUGUGUGGCGUUGUGAAGCAUGGGAUGAACCGGUCCGAUGGCUCCUCUGCAGAGCGCUGUAUCCUUGCUUAUCUCUAUGAUCUGUACACCUCCUGUAGCCAUUUAAAGAACAAAUUUGGGGAGCUCUUCAGCGACUUUUGCUCAAAGGUGAAGAACACCAUCUACUGCAACGUGGAGCCAUCGGAAUCAAAUAUGCGCUGGGCACCUGAGUUCAUGAUUGACACUCUAGAGAACCCUGCAGCUCACACCUUCACCUACACAGGGCUAGGCAAGAGUCUUAGUGAGAACCCUGCUAACCGCUACAGCUUUGUCUGCAAUGCCCUUAUGCACGUCUGUGUGGGGCACCAUGAUCCCGAUAGGGUGAAUGACAUCGCAAUCCUGUGUGCAGAGCUGACCGGCUAUUGCAAGUCACUGAGUGCAGAAUGGCUAGGAGUGCUUAAGGCCUUGUGCUGCUCCUCUAACAAUGGCACUUGUGGUUUCAACGACCUCCUCUGCAAUGUAGAUGUCAGUGACCUGUCUUUUCAUGACUCGUUAGCUACUUUUGUUGCCAUCCUCAUCGCUCGGCAGUGUUUGCUCCUGGAAGAUCUGAUUCGCUGUGCUGCCAUCCCUUCACUCCUUAAUGCUGCUUGUAGUGAACAGGACUCUGAGCCAGGGGCCCGGCUUACCUGCCGCAUCCUCCUUCACCUUUUCAAGACACCGCAGCUCAAUCCUUGCCAGUCUGAUGGAAACAAGCCUACAGUAGGAAUCCGCUCCUCCUGUGACCGCCACCUGCUGGCUGCCUCCCAGAACCGCAUCGUGGAUGGAGCUGUGUUUGCUGUUCUCAAGGCUGUGUUUGUACUUGGGGAUGCGGAACUGAAAGGUUCAGGCUUCACUGUGACAGGAGGAACAGAAGAACUUCCAGAGGAGGAGGGAGGAGGUGGCAGUGGUGGUCGGAGGCAGGGUGGCCGCAACAUCUCUGUGGAGACAGCCAGUCUGGAUGUCUAUGCCAAGUACGUGCUGCGCAGCAUCUGCCAACAGGUCAGUCUCACCUUCCUCCCACACCUCCUAAAUGCCUCUGUGUAAUAUAGUCCCGUUUCCAGCCCAUGAUCACACCACCUCCCUACUAUACAUUGUGUUCCUUACCAACUCCAACCCGUCCUCCAUAUUCCUAACCCCCUCACUGGUUGCUCCCAGUCCCUGAUUGUCAGCUUCCUCAGGAAUGGGUAGGAGAACGUUGCCUUAAGUCGCUGUGUGAGGACAGCAAUGACCUGCAAGACCCAGUGUUGAGUAGUGCCCAGGCGCAGCGCCUCAUGCAGCUCAUCUGCUACCCACAUCGACUGCUGGACAAUGAGGAUGGGGAAAACCCCCAGCGGCAGCGCAUAAAGCGCAUUCUUCAGGUAGGCCAAGGCUGUGGGGGCCGCAGAGGAAGCAGUGGGCCCAAUCUGGGGAGAAACAA